rnacentral:rRNA from 1 species
CUACGAGUUUGAUCCUGGCUCAGAACGAACGCUGGCGGCAGGCCUAACACAUGCAAGUCGAGCGCCCCGCAAGGGGAGCGGCGGACGGGUGAGUAACGCGUGGGAACGUACCCUUUGCUACGGAAUAGCCUCGGGAAACUGGGAGUAAUACCGUAUGUGCCCUUCGGGGGAAAGAUUUAUCGGCAAAGGAUCGGCCCGCGUUGGAUUAGGUAGUUGGUGGGGUAAUGGCCUACCAAGCCGACGAUCCAUAGCUGGUUUGAGAGGAUGAUCAGCCACACUGGGACUGAGACACGGCCCAGACUCCUACGGGAGGCAGCAGUGGGGAAUCUUAGACAAUGGGCGCAAGCCUGAUCUAGCCAUGCCGCGUGAGCGAUGAAGGCCUUAGGGUUGUAAAGCUCUUUCAGUGGGGAAGAUAAUGACUGUACCCACAGAAGAAGCCCCGGCUAACUCCGUG